rnacentral:rRNA from 1 species
AUUGAACGCUGGCGGCAGGCCUAACACAUGCAAGUCGAGCGAGCGGCGGACGGGUGAGUAAUGUCUGUGAAACUGCCUGAUGGGGGGGGAUAACUACUGGAAACGGUAGCUAAUACCGCAUACCAUCAGAUGUGCCCCGAUGGGGUUAGCUAGUGGGUGGGGGAACGGCUCACCUAGCCGACGAUCCCUAGCUGGUCUGAGAGGAUGACCAGCCACACUGGAACGGAUACACGGUCCAGACUCCUACGGGAGGCAGCAGUGGGGAAGAUUGCACAAUGGGGGAAAGCCUGAUGCAGCCAUGCCGCGUGUGUGAAGAAGGCCUUCGGGUUGUAAAGCACUUUCAGCGGGGAGGCGUUACCCACAGAAGAAGCACCGGCUAACUCCGUGCCAGCAGCCGCGGUAAUAC